rnacentral:tRNA from 1 species
GUCGGAGUGGCGGAACGGUAGACGCGCACGCUUGAGGUGCGUGUGGAGCAAUCUGUGUGGGUUCAAGUCCCAUCUCCGACA